AGUUCUCUUCUGUGAGUCAUAGAAUAAAUAUUGAUCAUUGUUCAUAAACGUUGUACCUGUCCGCGGUGCGCUUCAUCAGGAUUAUCACGUGGCGCAUCGCUGUCCGCGACGUGUGAUUUUAAUUUCAUAUCCUAAUAAAGGAUUUUUCCCGGUAAGGUGAAGCUUGGUGCACCUCGAGAUGAAGAUAUCAUCGAUUGAAGACAUCGCGUUUAAUCGAGAUAACACAUUUUUGAUACAAGGCGAUAGAUAAUCGUAAAAGUUCCAACUUACAUGUACGGCGAGCAUUUUCGCACGAGCAACAUCAUCGUCACCAGUAUCCCGACGAAGAGGAUGCCGAAGACGGCCCCGACCACAAGAGCGACAUUCAGCUCCGCGUCUAAUAUUGCAAAAUAUAAGUAAUAUAAGAAAUACAAAAUAAUAGGAAAUUUCUGUUAGAUAACAACACGAGCGAGAUUAAAAUCGAUAGAUUCAAAAUUACAUGUCUGUCGCCUUUUCAGCUGAAUUGGCUGCAUUAUUAGUUCCCCAAAUAGCAAAAACUGAUGUCAUUAUAUAAAAAUAAAAAUGACGUAUAUGUUUGCUUUCUGGGUCAGAGUUUAUCUUUUUCCUUUCAAUCUAAAGUAAAAAAAGCUAAACUCUGAACUAGUGCAGCCAGUUGAAAAGAUUUAAUAAGUAAUAUCACAUCUUCUUGAAGUAUGAAGAAAAAUAAAGAUGUAUAAAGAAGAUAUAGAAAAAGGAUUUGAUUACUUCACAUAUUUUUUAUGAUCUAUAUGAUUGCUUCAUAUCUUCUUUUUAUACGCAUUUUUUAUUAUUUUUUUAUCUUGUAUCUAGGGGAGACCGAGGACAAAAGUAACAUUUUUUUUGCAUUUUAAAUCAGUUAUCAAUUACCUUUAGAGAUAUAUCAUAAAUAAUCAGAUUAUAUCUUAAGAUACUCCAUUUAUUGGUCUAUUAUUAUACCUAUGUUUCAUCUUCGAAUAAUAGGUAUUUAAAAAGCUACUUUAACUUUCCACAAGUGCAUUUAUUGUUACUUUCAUCCUGGGGGCCUAGGACGAAAGUAACACAGUAUAAAAAUA